rnacentral:piRNA from 1 species
CUAAAGGAAUGCCACGGGGAGGAUGUUAGGU